UACGGAGGGUGCAAGCGUUAAUCGGAAUUACUGGGCGUAAAGGGUGCGUAGGUGGUUUGAUAAGUCAUAUGUAGAAUCCCUGGGCUCAACCUGGGAAUGUCGUGUGAUACUGUUGGACUAGAGUAUGGGAGAGGGCAGUGGAAUUUCCGGUGUAGCGGUGAAAUGCCUAGAUAUCGGAAGGAACACCGGUGGCGAAGGCGGCUGCCUGGCCUGAUACUGACACUGAGGCGCGAAAGCUAGGGGAGCAAACAGG
rnacentral:rRNA from 1 species